rnacentral:rRNA from 1 species
UACGUAGGGGGCAAGCGUUGUCCGGAUUUAUUGGGCGUAAAGAGCGUGUAGGCGGCUUGGUAGGUCCGCUGUGAAAACUCGAGGCUCAACCUCGAGAUGUCGGCGGAAACCACUUGGCUAGAGUCCGGAAGAGGAGAGUGGAAUUCCUGGUGGUAGCGGUGAAAUGCGCAGAUAUCAGGAAGAACACCCGUGGCUAAGGCGGCUCUCUAGUACGGUACUGACGCUGAGACGCGAAAGCGUGGGGAGCGAACAGG